CACCGCACAACCCCCACUUAAAUCUAUCUGUAAGCCAAAAUCUGGUAUCACUCCUACUAGAUCUAAUUUGACUAGAAAAAUUUAUACCAAAGACAAUCUCACAAACCCAAAUCACUGCCUCCAUUACUACAACCGCUCAAAAAGCCAUAAUUAAAUUUUAUUUCCUUUCUUUCUUCAUUCCACCUGUCCUAACCUUACCUUUAAUU
rnacentral:lncRNA from 1 species